CUGAGUGAGGGCCCUCGUGGUCCGACCUCCAACCCUUUGUCGUCCGACUCUGUUGCCUCGGGGGCGACCCUAGGUCUUUCGGGACCGGGGGGCUCCCGGCGGUCUACACAACUCUGCAUCUUUGCGUCUGAGUAAACAUUAAAUGAAACA
rnacentral:misc_RNA from 1 species